rnacentral:rRNA from 1 species
AACGAACGCUGGCGGCAUGCCUAACACAUGCAAGUCGAACGAGACCUUCGGGUCUAGUGGCGCACGGGUGCGUAACGCGUGGGAACCUGCCCUUAGGUUCGGAAUAACUCCCCGAAAGGGGUGCUAAUACCGGAUAAUGUCUUCGGACCAAAGAUUUAUCGCCUUUGGAUGGGCCCGCGUUGGAUUAGCUAGUUGGUAGGGUAAAAGCCUACCAAGGCGACGAUCCAUAGCUGGUCUGAGAGGAUGAUCAGCCACACUGGGACUGAGACACGGCCCAGACUACGCGAGGCGGAAGGAGUGGGGAAUGGAGGAGAAGGCGCGCAGGCCUGAUGCAGCAGGGCGGGGUGGGUGAUGAGGGCCGUAGUGUUCACAAGCUUUUUGGCCGGGGAAGAUAUGAACCGCACGGGGAGAAUACGCUGCGGCAAACACGGGGCCCGCAGCCGCGAUAAUAAA